UAGGUUAGUAGAUAGGUGAGGUAAAGGACCUGCCUGGUGUGGGUUGAUUCAGACCUUUAGGUUAGUAGAUAGGUGAGGUAAAGGACCUGCCUGGUGUGGGUUGAUUCAGACCUUUAGGUUAGUAGAUAGGUGAGGUAAAGGACCUACCUGGUGUGGGUUGAUUCAGACCUUUAGGUUAGUAGAUAGGUGAGGUAAAGGACCUGCCUGGUGUGGGUUGAUUCAGACCUUUAGGUUAGUAGAUAGGUGAGGUAAAGGACCUGCCUGGUGUGGUUGAUUCAGACCUUUAGGUUAGUAGAUAGGUGAGGUAAAGGACCUACCUGGUGUGGGUUGAUUCAGACCUUUAGAUAGGUGAGGUAAAGGACCUGCCUGGUGUGGUUGAUUCAGACCUUUAGGUUAGUAGAUAGGUGAGGUAAAGGACCUGCCUGGUGUGGGUUGAUUCAGACCUUUAGGUUAGUAGAUAGGUGAGGUAAAGGACUUGCCUGGUGUGGGUUGAUUCAGACCUUUAGGUUAGUAGAUAGGUGAGGUAAAGGACCUGCCUGGUGUGGGUUGAUUCAGACCUUUAGGUUAGUAGAUAGGUGAGGUAAAGGACCUGCCUGGUGUGGGUUGAUUCAGACCUUUAGGUUAGUAGAUAGGUGAGGUAAAGGACCUGCCUGGUGUGGGUUGAUUCAGACCUUUAGGUUAGUAGAUAGGUGAGGUAAAGGACCUGCCUCGUGUGGUUGAUUCAGACCUUUAGGUUAGUAGAUAGGUGAGGUAAAGGACCUGCCUGGUGUGGGUUGAUUCAGACCUUUAGGUUAGUAGAUAGGUGAGGUAAAGGACCUGCCUGGUGUGGGUUGAUUCAGACCUUUAGGUUAGUAGAUAGGUGAGGUAAAGGACCUGCCUGGUGUGGUUGAUUCAGACCUUUAGGUUAGUAGAUAGGGGAGGUAAAGGACCUUCCUGGUGGGGUUGAUUCAGACCUUUAGGUUAGUAGAUAGGUGAGGUAAAGGACCUGCCUGGUGUGGGUUGAUUCAGACCUUUAGGUUAGUAGAUAGGUGAGGUAAAGGACCUGCCUGGUGUGGGUUGAUUCAGACCU